rnacentral:tRNA from 1 species
GGAAAUAUGUCUGAUAAAAGAAUUACUCUGAUAAAUAAUACAGGUUAAAAUCCUCUUAUUUCUA